UUUCUUCUCUCUGUGGAUAUACGCUGGGUGCUGGUUGAUCCUCCUUAGAUACUAAUUAGUGAUUGAAUUUUGAAUGAAAUCGUUGGUCCUUUUCUUCCUUUAAUUUAAGGGUAAUUGGAUUUUAAUCAGCAACAACCAAAAGAUUGCUGAUUUUGUUCUGUUCUGUCUUUUAACAUGGUAGGCUUAAUUUUAUUCAUUCAUCAUCCCCCAAGUUUUAGGUUGUUUAUAUCACAAAAAAUUCAAACUUCAAUUUAAUACCACCAAAAUUACAGAUUCUGUUGGGUACUCAGGGCCAGAAACUAAUGUUGAUAAUCCUACACAAUAAAAAAUAUUUGUCUUGACCCUAUAAUUAUUUUUUAUUGUGUCCAAUCCACCUAGACAUACCCAGAUCAGUCUCUGGCUAGAGUAUUCUAUGGAAUUUGGCUGGCACUUUGGAUGGUGUUAAACUAAAAUUUGAGUAUUGUUGUGAUACAAAAUGAAGUUAAGGACUGUGAUAAAACAACCUUAAAGUUGAGGGACGGUGGUUAAAUUAAGCCUAACAUAGUAUUGUAGAUAGUUUGCGGUGUUGAAUGCCCUUUGAAAAUGAUUUUCCUUAGUAUAAUUCAAUACCCUUUAAUGAUCUAUACUUAUUGGUGUGGUUAUUGUUUGUAAGCUUUUGCACUUCAAUUUGUUCUUUUGCAGUGAAGAAAUCGCGUGAAAUGUUUGCGGAUUCUACAAUGGAGUGUUUAGAUAAUCUAAAUUAUGACAGUUGGGUUAGUUGGAAAAUUAACAUCCAAUUAAUCCUUAG
rnacentral:misc_RNA from 1 species